rnacentral:rRNA from 1 species
AUUGAACGCUAGCGGGAUGCCUUACACAUGCAAGUCGAACGGCAGCAUAAGAGAGCUUGCUCUCUUGAUGGCGAGUGGCGAACGGGUGAGUAAUGUAUCGGAACGUGCCCAGUAGCGGGGGAUAACUACGCGAAAGCGUAGCUAAUACCGCAUACGCCCUACGGGGGAAAGGAGGGGAUCUGCAAGGACCUUUCACUAUUGGAGCGGCCGAUAUCGGAUUAGCUAGUUGGUGAGGUAAGGGCUCACCAAGGCGACGAUCGGUAGCCGACCUGAGAGGGUGAUCGGCCACAUUGGAACUGAGAUACGGUCCAA